UGAGCACAGUGAAGAGAUCUUCCCAGCAUCAGGUUAGGAGAAGGAAUGGCGUGACUCACUUUGUAUGAAGAAACAAGAUUGCAGUAAUAGGAGUAUUAAA